CUAUUGAGUUCUUUAUAGAAGUUGGAAAUAUUUUGAAAUCUGAGAUCUAAUUCCUGGCCAAGUGUAGUGGCUCAUGCCUGUAAUCCCAACAUUUUGGGAGACCGAGGUGGGCGGAUCACCUGAGGUUGAGAGUUCGACAUCAGCCUGGCCAACAUGGUGAAACCCCGUCUCUACUAAAAAAUACAAAAAUUAGCCAGGCAUGGUGGCUCAUGUCUGUAAUCCCAGCUGCUGGGGAGGCUGAGGCACAAGAAUCUCUUGAACCUGGGAGGCAGAGGUUGCAGUGAGCCGAGAUCACACCACUGCACUCCAUCCUGGGCAAUGGAGCGAGACUCUGUCUCAAAAAAUAAUAAAUAAGAUAUGAUUCCUGCCUGUUUUAUCCAGUUAGAGAGACACACUACACAUGAAAUAGUUGGAGAGCAUGUAAAUGUCUACCUGUUACUUCCAGCUUGGAAAAAGGGAAGAAUAUGUUUUAGUUAGCAAAGUCUUAAGACUGAAAAGUGGCAAGCACUGUAGCUCAUAUUUUCUUUUGACUCACCUUUUUCUUUAGCUGCACCUUUUGUAACUUCUAGAUUUGGGGCAUGAAGUUCUGCCAGUAAGGCAUAACCAGUACCCAAGUAGGAAAGGAUUCUUGAUCCCCGGAGUAAAGAUUCCUAGCUCGCAGGGAUCUCACUUGCACACUUAGGGGAAAGACCAGAGGGAGCCACUAGCAACUGAAAAAUGAAGGAUUUAAUUUCUCUACCCAGGUCCAAAUCCAGUGCAUAAUGUAGUAUAUGUUAUAUGCAGAAAGGGCACUGGACGUGUGGGAGCCCUUUGGGUAACAGCUCUGCUAGUUGUUACCUUCAUACUUCUCUUUCUUCUUAAUCUCGGGUUUCUCAUCUGAAAAAUGAGAUAAUUGGACUAGAUUAAUAGUUCUCAGCCUUUUCUAGACCAACAAAUUAGAUGAUCUCUGAAGUCCUUUUCCCCUCCAAAAUUUUGUGCUUCCAGUCUCUCCCCUUUAUUGCAUAUUAUCCCUAGGCUAAUUAAAGGUGUGCUGGUUAAUCAGUUUCUUUUUUGUUUUUUUUCUUUUUUUUUCUGUGUUCAGGUAUCAUUUGACCAGUAACUUGCUCUUAAUCUUACUGUGAUGACUGAAAUCUCCAAAGAGGAGAGUAUAAUAGUUAUAGGUCUAGUAAUAAUAAUCUUUUAAACAAUUCAUUAUUUUUUAAAACUUAAUGCUGUGUGCCUAGUGUUGAGUAUGACUAAAAUGUAAAUGAGAACCAAAUAUGACACUAACGCUGGCACUAAAUUUUAUUUUUACUUGUGUACUUAAAGUACUUUACUGGCCUGUUGGGAAAUUGAUUUGUAUAAGUUUUAAGAUUCACACUUGGUUUUGGCAGAAACAACUUUUUAAAGAUACAGUUAGGCUGACUUUUAAAAAUGUUUUUUAUCCCACAGAAUGUAUCUUUAUUAUGUCAUUCUUACCCUCUCUCUGCCUUUUUUGACCAUCAUUUAACUACUCAGUAGUAAAUCAUGGGGUGCAGGCUGAUGAAUUAGUAGUCUUUGUAAAACUAAAAUGUAAUGAGCAUAGGAAGAACCAGCUCUUCUGGUGAACAUGGCAGUUUUCUGGUAAUACCAGCCUUGAUGAAUAGGCUAAAGACAGCUGUGUACUGUGGACAUUCAGCUUCACGGGGUUGUCUGGCUUCACCUUUCAGUUAUUGUCUUGCUGUACACAUCUUAGAAUAGUGGCAAGAAUGUUCUUUAGAACUGCAGAUAACCCGACAGAGAAUACCAUCCCAAUAUAUCGGCUUCUCCUCUUAUAUAGAGAUUUGGUAUUUCAGUGAUGGUUGUUUUGGUUUUUGACUCACCUUUGUGUCAGUCCUGCUAGAGAGACAGUAUAGAAUCAAGAAUUUCUUGGUGUCUUUUUAAAAAUAGAGAUUUUAAUGGUCUUGCUAGUUUUCCUGUGAAGUGAACUUACAUGGCUGGAUUAUUGAAUGUGACAGACCCUUAAUUAGAAAACCUUUUAAUCCUGCUUUCUAUUUUACUUCUCCACCAUUUAUUUUUAACAUUCAUUCUCUGAAAAUAGUUAUGAUUUUUAAUGUAAUUGGCUAUGUUUAAGAAAUUCCAUUUGAAAGUCUUAAUAUGUAACAAUCUUCAUUUUUUAUAAAAUUGAAGGACAUUUUUGAGGCAAACUUACUUUUAUAGCUCAUUUUCUCUCUAGUUAAGGAGAAUUCUCUGGUUUCAAAUAGAGAAUGGCUAGUUCUGUGAUACCCCACCUUCUUUGUGGCCUACUAGUUGCUGUUGUGUUGCUUAAAAUUGCAGAUAUUCUCAUAAACAUGAUGAUUUUUGGCACAGGCCUUUCUUUGCCAUAUUGAUUUCAAAAUAAAGUUGGGCAAUCCAAUUUGAACUACUUUAAUAAACAUAAUUUAGCAUUUCUGUAAUGAGAAAGUAUUUUCAAAAGAUAACCGGAUUUACUUUAGGAUUAGAGAUGGCAAAUACCAAUGACGGUAUUUUUCCCAAGAGCAAUCACAUAUUAAUCUGUAAAUAUGAGAAGUCGCAUUAUUGUACUUAAUUCUUUGGCAACAAACAGCAAGUUUUUAUUGUUUAAUUGUAUUUCCUCUCUAGAGAUCACAAUACUCCAGGUAUUUUAUAUCCCUUCUAAAGGUCAUUUGGGUUUUCAGAUGGGAAGAAUAGUCAAGCUAAGCUGGACUAAACCUAAGGAAUAUUUUAUCUCAUCAAAAGAAGUUAUUAAUCUAACUGGGUUAGCAUGAGUCAUUCAUUUUUUAGACAUGAUAAGUGGGAAACAUUUCAAAUCAUUAGAUAAAUUCUGACCUGGAAUUGAAUUCUCCUUUUCUUAAAAUCUUUUUAAUUUGCUUUUUUCAUAGACUCAGCAUGGAACUCUUAACUGAUGAGGGAGAGAUUCUUGAUGUGGAACCAUUCCCUGCCAUUCUGCUUUUUUCUCUCUCUCAAGGUAGCUGGUUCCAUAGUGCCUGUCACCAGGGUCCAUUUCAGGUUGAUGACAGACCGUUUACACUCAGUUGGAUACCUUGCUGUUUGCAGCAACAUGAUUUUACAGUAUGCUUUUCUCAAAGCUUUGCAUUCUUAAUGGAGAUAUCAAAUGGUGUAAUUCCAAAUAUAAAUAUGUUUAUGACACUAAUCAUAUGAUUUUAACAAUAACUUUUUGAUAACUUAUUGCCCUGUAAGUUAAACCUUACACAGAGUGACUGUUGCCAUCAGAAAUCCCCUUUCACCUGCUAGUGAGAGUGAAAGUAGCACGUGGCCUCACUUUUCAGUUAACGAGUAGCAAGCUUCUAGUAGGGGCUGCUUAUCUGACCCAUUUGGGGUCUUGGGCCUUGUCACUUUCCUGGGUUUGUCCCUUCAGCUGGAAAGGCUGUUGAAAACACUUGCCAGGAAACAGUAAAACUGUGAGAGAAUCUUCUAGUCUUAGAUAUAGAGAAAUGAGUACCAGUUGAUGCUAACAUGAUACUUAGACUUUGAGGGGCUUCCAUUCAAGCUUUGGCAUGAAUCUGUUAAGACACAGUUUUCUUCACUCCUCUGAUGAUCUUUUUUUCCAGAGUGGUUUUUUUUUUGUUGUUGUUGUUAACAAAUUCUAAACAUCCAGUGUUACUUUGUUUUGUUUUGUUUGCCCUUCAGGAAAGUCCUUUUUCGAGUAGGUAUUGACUGUUCCACGGAAACUCUCAGCAGUGUCUGCGCAGGCUCUGUGCAUGCUUUGUAUGAGUUCAGCUUGAACAAUGCGUUUGAAAUCACCUGGGAUGUCCAAUUCUGGCAUGUCUUCAUUGUUUGUGUUUUUAAACAUGUUUCAUGUCAUUUUCCAAACCUCACUUUACAUCUUACUCAGAGAAGUUAAUAAAGGAAUGAAAUUUCUAGGGGGAUAGGGAUGAUGAGGGUGGGUCGGGGGCUUGAGUGAAGUCAACUCGGGGUGUUUGUUUAAAGUGUUCCUAACAGUAUUUAGAGAUUCCCUGGGAAGUUUGUGUGCUCAGCUUAUUCUGGACAAAGUGUAUGUGGGAGUGGUCUUACUGAGAUUUGCAUUCUUAAUGCAGGACAGGCUCUAAAUUUCAUCUGUACUCUAAAUUUGUGAUUGAAUCAAAUCAAAGAAGAUAACAGAGACAGUGCUCCCUAAAAUGCACAUCGAAUUCUGUUUUCUGGGCCUUUUCUCCCAUGGUGCUAGGAGAUACCGUUGAUUUCUGCAGCUCCUCUCAGUGGUGGGAAGAAGUCUUUGGGAUUGUUGAGCAGGGGGCAGCUGGACCAUCCACUAAAUUUCUUUGUUCAACACACAUUAGAGACCCUCCUGUAUAUCUAGUAAGUCAUAAUAAAGGUGCUUGGGAAAGCCUUAAAUUUGAAGACACAUGGAGGCGGUAGAAAAUUAAACUUGUAAGAGGAGAAAAACAUGCCAUUAGGUAACGCAGAGCUGUAACUGCUGGCUAAGACUCAAUGGAACUUCCACUUGCUCUAAAACCAGGGAAAUCUUAGAUAACUGGGUGUGAUCUACCUAUAGAUCUACAUAUAGUCUAUAGGUAAUAAUUUCCAGAAGGAGGAUCUUGCUGUCAGUUGGGGAUCCUCUGGUUUGGGCUGUACCAAAUUGUGAAUACUCUUGCUGUGUUGUACCCAGUUGCUUUAUAUUAAUACUGCAACUUGAAAUGGGGAGGGUGGGGGGGACAAUGGGGUGGGGGAGGGAGGGGAGUGGGACGAUAAGUCUUUUGAAGACAUCAGCUCACUGUGCUGAGAGAGGGACCAAACUCAAGGAAACCUCUGAUCUAUACAUUCAACUGCUGCAUUUUUUUAUAAAUACAUGUAAAUGUCCUGUUGUAAUAUUUGAUCUUGGAAAUAAAAACAAAAACUUUUCAGUA